GAAACGGCUCGAAACCGUGUCAGAACCUUUAAAAAAAACCUAUUACAUAACUUCCUCUUUAUCUCCCGUCGCACCAACGCAACCCCAUUCUCGAUCUCUCCCUCUCUCUCCCGCUCCCUCACUCCCUCAAUCCCUUGUUCUCGAUCUCUCUAGCUCCCGCUUCCUCACUCCCUCUAUCAUUACCUCUCGAUCUCUCUCCCGCUCCCUCCCUCUUUAUCUCCCUCCCUCUGUCUCUCUAUCUCUCUCGCUCCCUCCCGAUCUCUCUCCCUAUCGUUACAAGAAAAACAGAGCCCUAAUUACCUGUUCUCUUUCUCUCUCUCCAACCAGCCUCACUUUACAUUUUUGCUCGGUAGGUAUACAGUAUUUGCAGAGCAGAGCUUCUCGGAAGCGAAAAAGGUUAUUUGAAGGGUUAGGGUUUUGAUCCAUUCUCUUUCAGAGCAACUCCAAUUUUAAGUUUUCGAUCUCUGCAACACUCUCCUCAUCUCUCUCUCUCUCUCUCUCUCUCUCUCUCUUCGGAGUCGGAUUCUAGAACUCUCAGCAGCGAGAAUGGGGUUCCAGAUGCAGCGGUACGGAGUACAAGCGAUGCUGAAAGAAGGCUACAAGCAUCCCUCUGGCAUCGACGAAGCGGUCCUCAAGAACAUUGAUGCUUGCAAGCAGCUCUCCACCAUCACCCGAACUUCGCUCAGAUCGAACGGUAUGAAUAAAAUGGUCAUUAAUCAUUUGGACAAACUCUUUGAUACAAAUGAUGCUGCAACUAUUGUGAAUGAACUUGAGGUACAGCAUCCUGCUGCCAAGAUUCUCGUGUAAGCAGGCAAAGCUCAACAGGAAGAAAUUGUUGAUGGAGCUAAUCUGACAAUAUCUUUUGCUGGGGAGCUUCUCCAAAAUGCAGAGGAGCUUAUUAGGAUAGGAUUGCAUCCAAGUGAACUCAUUAGUGGCUACCCAAAAGCGAUCAAUAAGAUGGUCGAUAUUUUAGAUGAGUUGGUUGAAAAGGGCUCGGAAACAAUGGAUGUGCGGAACAAGGAUGAAGUUGUUUCCUGAAUGAAAGCUAUUGUGGCCAGUAAGCAGUUCGUACAAGAAGACAUUUUGUGCCCUCUUAUUGCGGAUGCAUGCAUCCAGGUCUGCCUCAAGAACCCAGUGAACUUUAAUGUAGAUAAUGUUCGUGUCGUAAAGCUUCUUGGAGGAGGUCUGCAUAACUGUUCAAUUGUUCGUGGCAUGGUCCUGAAAACUGAUGCUGCUGGAAGUAUAAAACAAAUGGAAAAUGCAAAGGUGUGCCUUUGGAAAACUAACUAUUGGUUCUUAUACCAAUACAAUAUUCUUAUACUAUAUUUGCUUCCUCACAUAUUUUCUGGUUGUAAAUAUCAUAGAGUAGAAAUACAUUCCACCCAGUGCUUUGUAUUUUUUCUGUCAAGGAUCUUUUGUGUUCUUAAAUCUCUCUCUCUCUCUCUCUCUCUCUCUCUCUCUCUCUCUCUCUCUCUGUGUGUGUGUGUGUGUGUGUGGUUUUUUUGGUGAUGCUUUGUAUUGGAUGCCUUUGUCUGAUUUGGAUUUGGAUGUUUGAUGGAGCACAUUUACUUGCCAUGUAGUAUUGAGUGGUUUUUUGGAAGGCUUAAUGUUGCUGAAAAUGAAAAAAAUAAUAAUAUUUUUCUACUCUCUAGGAGUAUUUUCAUGCCAUUUGGCAUUGGGUAAUUUUGUGCAUUGGAAGGCUUACUGUUGUUUCCUUCUCAGCCAAUUUGGUUGAAUUGAUUUAUGUGAGCUUACUAUUGAUC